UUCCUUCUUGGCCUGCGACCAUCCAUCAAGUGGCGAGGGGGCAUUGCCUACUUUGCAGCGCGAAGCCAAAGCAGAAAGUGUUGCCUACUUUUUUGGGCCAUGCACUUAAAGCUGCUUCAAGGCGCACUGUGUGUGUUCCGUUGUGUGUGUGUGUGUGUGUGUGUGUGUGAGGACGUCGUUGUUGUGCUGUGUUGGGAAAUUUCUGACAGGUCAUAAAUUGGCGCAACGGGCGGUUCAUUCGUUGCCUCACACACACCCAGAGUGGGAGAUAUAUACGACAUAUAUACACAUACAUAUGUAUAGUAUAUGCACCCUUCAGUUCCAGAAUUCCUCGCCCGUCCAAUUCCUCGCGGUAUGUUCGAAAAACAAAAACAAAUUACAUGGGCCUCGUUCAGUGAAGUUCGAAACAAAAUAGCCGAAACAAAUUCUACCUACGUUCGGCUACUGCCGAGGGCUUCACGAAGUUCGUUCUUUAUAUUUGUUAUUGUUUUCGAUCUACGUUCGGAGUAGCGGUUGCGAGAAUUCGUAAAUUAGAGAGAGAUGGAGAUGGAAGGAAGGGAGGAAAGAAAAUUGGUGUCAAAAACAAAGAGUAUUGCACCGACGUGAGAAUGACCUUUUUAAAAUAAGUAGAGUUAUUUAAAAAUAUUUAAGAUUAUAUUUAAUUAAUUUUUACGAAUAAAAUCGUGUGGGAUAUAAGCACGUAAGAAAAUGUGCUUUAGACAUGGCCGAAAUGUUCAUGUUUGAUUAUUGGCCCUUUGUGAAUCUAAUUGCAAGGCAUUGCCUUGUCGGCUAUACCCUGACACGCGCGAGAAUUUUCGGUGUUCGGUUUUGUCUUCUAAUUCUCUUUGCAUUUUGAGUUGACUGCUGUUGCAUUCAGAAGUGUUUUGCGUAUUAGUUGCGUAAAAAUGAAAUAUUAUAAGACGGUGUGAAUGGGAUUCAGUACGGAAUUACAAAGUUUUUUUUAUCCAGUUUAAGUUGAUAAAACAAGUUUCUUAAAGGACACAGCAGCCGACAAAGGAGGCCCGUGACACGCACUUAUGUAUGUACAUAUGUAUAUAUAUGUACAUGUUUAAUUUUGCAGAAAAAUGU